rnacentral:lncRNA from 10 species
GUCCUGUUUCACUGGGAAGCCGUCCGCGGCCCCCACCCCUCCCGCCUGGCUCGGGCGCCAGGAGAAGCGGACAUUUUAGCCUCCUCUGCAAUCCGCUCUCUCGUUCGUGUCCUUCUCCCCCCUCUCGUCCGGUUGGAGUGCAGUGGUGCUGUGUCUGGAGUUUGUUCCUGCCGUUGGGUUUGUGGUCUUGCUGACUUCAAGAAUGAAGCCACGGACCUUCACGAGAAAUAUUACGUUGUAUGGAUGUACCACUGUUUGUUUAUCCAUUCUUCAGGUGAAGGACAUGUGGGUUGUGCCCAGCGCGGGCUGAAUAAAGCCAUCAUAAUGUGAAGAAGCCGAAGCAGCCUGUGAAGAGGCGCUAGUGGAAAGGAACUCAGGUGCCCCUGCCCUCAGUCCCAGCUGAACUCUCAGCUGACAGCCAUCACCAACUUGCCAGCCACAGGAGUGAGCCAACUUGAGAGUGGAUCUUUCAGUCCCAGUGGAGCCAUCUCAGCUGACACACCAUGGUAAAAAGAUGAACCAUCCUUGCUGAUCCUUGCCAGUGCUGCAGAUACAUAAGCAAAAUAAAUGUUUUUGUUGUUUUAAGCCACU